GCAUAUCAAUAAGCGGAGGAAAAGAAACCAACAGGGAUUGCCCUAGUAACGGCGAGUGAAGCGGCAACAGCUCAAAUUUGAAAUCUGGCUUCGGCCCGAGUUGUAAUUUGCAGAGGAUGUUUAUGGUGCGGUACCUUCCGAGUUCCCUGGAACGGGACGCCACAGAGGGUGAGAGCCCCGUCUGGUUGGAUACCAAACCUGUGUUAAACUCCUUCAACGAGUCGAGUAGUUUGGGAAUGCUGCUCUAAAUGGGAGGUAAAUCUCUUCUAAAGCUAAAUACCGGCCAGAGACCGAUAGCGCACAAGUAGAGUGAUCGAAAGAUGAAAAGCACCUUGAAAAGGGGGUUAAACAGUACGUGAAAUUGUUAAAAGGGAAGCGUUUAUGACCAGACUUGUGUCGUGUGGCUCAUCCGAGGUUCUCCCCGGUGCACUCCACACGGCUCAGGCCAACAUCGGUUCUCGUUGGGGGAUAAGAACAGUAGGAACGUGGCCCUCUUCGGAGGGUGUUAUAGCCUGCUGUACGAUACCCUGAUGGGGACCGAGGACCGCGCUUCGGCUAGGAUGUUGGCGUAAUGGUCAUUAGCGACCCGUCUUGAAACACGGACCAAGGAGUCGUCCAUUAGAGCGAGCGUUUGGGUGUAAAACCCGCACGCGUAAUGAAAGUGAAAUUAGGUGAGAGCUUCGGCGCAUCAUCGACCGAUCCUGAAGUUUACGGAUGGAUUUGAGUAAGAGUUUUAACGGACGGACCCGAAAGACAGUGAACUAUGCUUGAAUAGGGUGAAGCCAGAGGAAACUCUGGUGGAGGCUCGCAGCGGUUCUGACGUGCAAAUCGAUCGUCAAAUUUGAGCAUGGGGGCGAAAGACUAAUCGAACUGUCUAGUAGCUGGUUACCGCCG
rnacentral:rRNA from 1 species